UUCAUUGGCGGUUGCAAAAUUGCUGGUGCCCUGUGCAUGGGUGUGACGUCAGAGUCAGUUUAAAUUGCGGGAGAUGGGUGGGGAGGAGGUGCGUCACUUCGGUGAAAGUUACAGCUCUCUGCUUAGUAGCCGUGGUUAAGACUGAGGUGCCUACAACAUGCUUUGUGGUCUGCUGCUGUCUCGUUUUAGUGAUUAUCUGGAUAGCUUGCUAUGCUGGUGAUUAGUGAGGCGAUUGAUGGUGGUAGUAACUACUGCUGUUCGGGACUCUGGCGAAAUGGAGCGAUACGACCCGUCUUGAAACACGGACCAAGGAGUCUAACAUGUGUGCAAGUAUUAGGGUGUGGAAACCCAAAUGCGCAAUGAAAGUAAAGGACACAUUAGUGUCUGUGGUAGGAAGGAGCUGUAAUGGUUCUGGCACUAUCGACCGAUCAUGAACCUCCGGGUGAAAGAUUUGAGUAUGAGCAUAUAUGUUGGUACCCGAAAGAUGGUGAACUAUG
rnacentral:rRNA from 1 species